AUUAGAGUUACCCUAUACAUGUAUUGAGAGUAGAUGAUGUAUAGGAUGUGAGGUAUUUUGAGAUAAAUGUAAACUAAUGUUUAUCUUUUGAAGAAUGUAAGCUUAUGUUCAUAGUUUGGAAAAGAAUGCAAGUUGUAAUUAAAUGUAUCGAGUUGAAUGGUUGUAAUAGAAUAGUUAAGUAUCUCUCUUUUGUUUCACUUGUAUGUCUUCUACUUGUGACGCUUGCUCUUGUAAUGUUCAGCACUGUUUGUGCUCUCGCUGUUGUUGCAUGAUCAUGUAUGUAUUCAAGUUGAUUUCCUGGGGACUUGUUGUACAUGAUCUCAUUGUUUAGCCUUGGGCGGACAGGGGAGACUCUGUCCGUUCGGCGGUCCGCCCGCCGCGCCCGAACCGUGCCAAAUUGGUAGCGGUCUCGGGGCGGGGCGUGACAAUAAAACCCAAUCCUAAGAAAUCUACCAUGGAUGGGUUUGGAGCUUA
rnacentral:lncRNA from 1 species